GUUCAUAUAGAUUAAAAAAAAUCAUAAAGCUGUUAACUUUAAGUUGCCGUAAAGCUAUGAACG
rnacentral:tRNA from 1 species